UACGUAGGUGGCAAGCGUUGUCCGGAAUUACUGGGCGUAAAGGGCUCGUAGGUGGCCAACUAAGUCAGACGUGAAAUCCCUCGGCUUAACCGGGGAACUGCGUCUGAUACUGGAUGGCUUGAGUUUGGGAGAGGGAUGCGGAAUUCCAGGUGUAGCGGUGAAAUGCGUAGAUAUCUGGAGGAACACCGGUGGCGAAGGCGGCAUCCUGGACCAACACUGACGCUGAGUGAGCGAAAGCCAGGGGAGCAAACGGG
rnacentral:rRNA from 1 species